GUGCUCGCUUCGGCAGCACAUAUGCUGAAACUGGAACAACACAGGCAAGAUUAGCAUGACCCCUGCGCAAGGAUGACACGCAAAAAAAAAAAAAAAAAAAAAGCAAC